CUUUGAAUAUUAAUGACGCUAAACAAUCGAAGCCACCAUUUGUGACUCAUACGCUAGUCAUUUUGUUUCUGUUAGAAAUUAACGUUUGCUUUUACAUUUCGAUUCUCCAAGUAACUGCUGGUAUAUUUGAUUUACCUCUAACGUGAUAGUGAAUUUUACGAUAUAAGAUAAUCAAUAUUGAAAAUGGGCGGAAAGAAGCACGGACCCGGAGGGUUGCAUCGCUAUGGUAAUUUCUACGAGCCCACAAGAGGUGGAGCCGAACGAGAUAGGACGGAAUGCUGCUCAGAGGAAACCAUGACGGCCACGUCUGUAGUGUUAGUAGUCAUCGCCGUUAUCUUCAUCAUCACCGGUAUCGUCCUGCUCGCUCUAGGCUCGACGGAGAGUUUUUGGCGCCGUAAAUUGCAGAAGGAAAGCGGUACGUACGUGGACCAGUUCCGCUACGGCAACGACGUACUCGACAGCAAGUUUACUGACGACGCCUAUAGAGCAAUCGGAAUUACGAUGUUGAUCUCCGCAGUUUUAAUGAUACUUUUUUCAGUUUACCUGUGCGUGGCAGUAUAUCGUGGACGGAAUCCAGCUGAAGAGGACUACCUGCCUAACCGAGGCGGCGGCGGCGGCGGCUUUGGUGGUGGUAUCGGUAAUGAUAUGCUCUAAAGUUUACCUUGACUUUAUUCCAACGGACAGAUACGGUAACGAAUAGUGAAACAAAAAUAUUGAUUACAUGCGUAUUAUUAUUUCCCGAUCGGAAGUAUCGCUAUGCCGGAUGUUGUCUCUGAUGUACACCUUGAAGGACUUAAAGCUUUAUGAGAUAAACUUUGUAUAGUUACUGGUAUUUUCAAUUUAAUCCCUUUUUUUUGUAUUGUCACGAUUUUGGCAUAUUUGAAACAAAAUGUUUAAACUCUAAUUUCGCAUAAUUGUAAUCACAACGGCUUCCGAUUUUUGUAUUUAUUAAACAAAAACAUUUUAUUGACCGAGCACAGAUGUUAAUAAUAAAGUACAUAAAUUAAUCAUAGAAUCAUUUUAAUACAUUUUGUUUGCUAUAACCAUUGCCGUAUGUUGUAUAAAAACACACAGGUCCUGGGUUCAAUUUAGCUUAGAUGUUUUUAAAACAUUUUAGAUUUACUGUUGCAGUAGUAUUUUUAUCGAUGUGAUUCGUUCUGAAUAAAAUAUUACGAUUUGCAAUGAUAGUACUCAAACUUAAUGGUUGUGAAGAUAGCUGUGGGAUAGCUGUGGGAUUGCUGGGGAGCUUUCGAUUUGGAUCAGUGGCUGCACCAGUGUGGUAAUAGCUUCCCAUCCCAUCAGGCAAGCGUGGACACCCAGUGGCGUCGAGAGCCAGUAAGGGCCCCGGGGCAACACCUCACAUGGCGCCCCCCUCCCCCUUUUCACUUGGGACCACCACUCGGCCGCUCCCCAAAUUAAGUCUCCUAUUUGUCCAAACCCACAUACAUGAAUAUGAUUCCAUGUGAACAAAAGUUUUCAUCCUGGCUUGGUCCGGGGCCCGGGGCAGCGACCCCCCGACCCCCUCUCGACGCCACUGUGGACACCCGUCUUCCGACGUCACGACGAGGGCGGGGGGAUUUGCCAAUGCUUACCGUCGUUGCACAAUCAAAAGCUCCCUAGUAACCAGAUUAGGUCCAAUACCUGUAAUGUUAAGGCUUGAGUUGUAUAGCGUAUAAUACAAUGAAAGGGAAUAUUUUUAACUGCGACUACUCAGUAACUAAGAAUAGAUAAAUCACAUCGUAUAUUUAUCACCUUGUAAUGAGUUGUGACAAAUGAGUCUUGUGGUACGCCCUGGUCAAUUUGAGAUUUUCCAGAAAACAUAUGAGUGAUAUUUUGACAAAAUUGUUAUUCAAUGUUCCAAAUAACAAAUGUUCUGAGUUGCUUUAAAUUAGUUGAAAGUGUUUUUUAGACACAUUUGUAAGCUCUCUUUCAGAAUUGAUAGAAAACCGACCACAAAAUGUAUUAGUUGUAAAUACCUUUAGUGGCGAUUUUCUCUAAAAGUAGCCUAUGUUUUCAGACUUCUUAAUUUUAAAGUGAUUAGACUUCUUAAUUUUAAAGUGAUUUUCUGUUGUACUCAAGCUACUGUAGGAACCUGAUUCAAAGACCGAAAUAUAGCCUGUAUAUCUAAAUAUAUCAUUAACUCAUUUUUUAUUCCACAAGACCCAUUUUGUAACAACAGCACACGUAUUGUACAGCAUUUUAUAUACUGUAGUCAUUUGAAAGUUUUUAGUAUAUUUUAUCAGAAGUGGAUAAUGAUCCUCUAGACAUUCCAGUUCAUAAUGAAGUUAUUAUUGUGUAGACGAUCAUGUUAUAUUAUAACUUCAUUCCGUAUAUGCCUUUGAAAUAACACACAUUUGGCUAUUGCUAAAACUCCAUUUGUACCGAGCUUAUCCUUUUGUAUUAUUAAAUAAAGACAUAUUUUGAUACAGUAAAUGUAAGCUUGAAUCCGUCUGAAGACGUUUUAUAAUUUGAUACGAAAUCAAGGUUGGCACCGGCUCUCCUCGUCGGGGAGAAAAACAGAAAUUCGUCGGGGAGAAACAAAAUUUAUAGGCCCUAUGUAUUUCUUACGUACCGUAUUAUUAUCAGUAGAUUCUAUCUAUAAAAUCAAUUAAGAUAAGCCUUUGAAACCCCUAAAUUGUUAUAUUUUGCGGGGGAUUUUUUCGGUUUUCUAGACAUUUUUACGCGACGUCCGACCACGUCCAUUGCUCUCGUCGGAGACAUCGACACCCCCCCCCCCCAAUCGGGCAAAUCCCGGCGCCACGCUUGAACGAAUGUAUCUGGGUGAGAUUCAUUAUGUGAAUGUAAUGCUGCAUAUUGUAACCUAUUAUAAUAAUAAGUAAUCAUGGUGUCAUACGGGAGGAAUUAAUAGUGAACACUAAAGCACUGUAUUUUACGCAAAACAAUCUGUGCGCAUACAAUAAUCCAUGAUCGAUAGUGAGGGAACUACGAAGUUUUAUACACGCCUAUUUUAAAAUGCAAUAAAAAUAAACUGAUUAUAUAUAUUUUUUUUUUUUGCGAAAAAUAAUUGAAAAGACCAGAAAGGGUUGGUGGUGGAGGGGGGGGGGGUUCCUUUUGUAACUGAGUUUAUCUUAAGAGAAAUGUUCACGUUCUGGUCAUGACAGGGUGUUUGUGACAGAUUGUGCAAAGAGUACCGUAGUUAUCCAGGUAGCGUCACAGAAAUCGCCAUUCGUUGGUCAUUUACAAUCAGCGUAAAAAAAGAAGAAAAUAAUCACCUUUGAAAAAGACGGUGUUGUUCUAUGGUGCGAGUGAGCAGUCGACAAACUACUGUAGGGGUUUGGGGUUUUGUGAUAGGUGGGUAGGAUGCUCCCUUAAAUAUUUUGUGUCCAGGUAGUUAUUCCCCUAGAAACUCCCCUUUAGCCAUUUAAAAUUAUGUAAAUGAUUUUUAACUUGGGAUUGUUUUGUUUGCUAUAGGGCCGGGUUGGGUGGGAUAGGGUAGGCGAUGUAGGGUUGGGGUCCUCCUGAUUCGCCACUGAUUUUAAUACUGAUAUUGUACACUGAAUUUCUUCUUGGCAAACAUGCCCUACGAAAUGCAAUUGUUUGUUCCGUAGGUAGCAUAGGCAAUAAAAUCUACUUUUUAUUCAUGUGACCUAA